AAGUGCUUGGUUUAGGAUGAACAGUGGAAAGGAACCAAGGAGGAAAUGUAGUGCCAAGUAGUAAUAAUAAACUUUCUGCCUGAGUUAAAGAAUCCUCCAUAUUGAGUGGAGGCCUUGUUGCUGGACAACAGCCUGUGAGUUUGCAGACCUCUGCACAGGAGGACUGCUAGUCCUAGGAUCUGCCUACCAAUCUCUCCUGCUCCUCCUCCUCCUCCUCUUCUUUUCAGAUGUCUCACUGGGGUGUUUUCCAGACUACGAGAAUAGUGCCGGUUGAAGUGUUGCAAAGUGAGAUGGUAUGAGGCAGCGGCUUAAAACAGCGAGUACAGUGUUUCUUGGUCUGAGCACAGCUUUAACAUUUGAUGAAUCAGUCUACCCGUUCAACACCCGUUCAAUGUUCAACAGGCAUUAAGAAACAACGGCUUUUCUUCGCAAUUUCAAAGGAAUACAUUUGGAGCUAUUUAUUCAUAACUUUGUAUUGUUCAAAAUAUGAAUAUUUGAUAAGAUGAA